rnacentral:rRNA from 1 species
GGACAGAUGGGAGCUUGCUCCCUGAAGUCAGCGGCGGACGGGUGAGUAACACGUGGGCAACCUGCCUGUAAGACUGGGAUAACUCCGGGAAACCGGGGCUAAUACCGGAUAAUUCUUUCCCUCACAUGAGGGAAAGCUGAAAGAUGGUUUCGGCUAUCACUUACAGAUGGGCCCGCGGCGCAUUAGCUAGUUGGUGAGGUAACGGCUCACCAAGGCAACGAUGCGUAGCCGACCUGAGAGGGUGAUCGGCCACACUGGGACUGAGACACGGCCCAGACUCCUACGGGAGGCAGCAGUAGGGAAUCUUCCGCAAUGGACGAAAGUCUGACGGAGCAACGCCGCGUGAGUGAUGAAGGUUUUCGGAUCGUAAAACUCUGUUGUUAGGGAAGAACAAGUACCGGAGUAACUGCCGGUACCUUGACGGUACCUAACCAGAAAGCCACGGCUAACUACGUGCCAGCAGCCGCGGUAAUACGUAGGUGGCAAGCGUUGUCCGGAAUUAUUGGGCGUAAAGCGCGCGCAGGCGGUUCCUUAAGUCUGAUGUGAAAGCCCCCGGCUCAACCGGGGAGGGUCAUUGGAAACUGGGGAACUUGAGUGCAGAAGAGAAGAGUGGAAUUCCACGUGUAGCGGUGAAAUGCGU